rnacentral:rRNA from 1 species
GAUGAACGCUGGCGGCGUGCCUAAUACAUGCAAGUAGAACGCUGAAGCUUGGUGCUUGCACCGAGCGGAUGAGUUGCGAACGGGUGAGUAACGCGUAGGUAACCUGCCUCUUAGCGGGGGAUAACUAUUGGAAACGAUAGCUAAUACCGCAUAAAAGUCGAUAUCGCAUGAUAUUGAUUUGAAAGGUGCAAAUGCAUCACUAAGAGAUGGACCUGCGUUGUAUUAGCUGGUUGGUGAGGUAACGGCUCACCAAGGCGACGAUACAUAGCCGACCUGAGAGGGUGAUCGGCCACACUGGGACUGAGACACGGCCCAGACUCCUACGGGAGGCAGCAGUAGGGAAUCUUCGGCAAUGGGGGCAACCCUGACCGAGCAACGCCGCGUGAGUGAAGAAGGUUUUCGGAUCGUAAAGCUCUGUUGUAAGAGAAGAACGAGUGUGAGAGUGGAAAGUUCACACUGUGACGGUAACUUACCAGAAAGGGACGGCUAACUACGUG